rnacentral:rRNA from 1 species
AACGAACGCUGGCGGCAGGCUUAACACAUGCAAGUCGAACGCAUCCUUCGGGGUGAGUGGCAGACGGGUGAGUAACGCGUGGGAACGUGCCCUUCAGUUCGGGAUAACCCAGGGAAACUUGGGCUAAUACCGGAUACGUGCGAGAGCAGAAAGAUUUAUCGCUGAAGGAUCGGCCCGCGUCUGAUUAGCUAGUUGGUGGGGUAAUGGCCCACCAAGGCGACGAUCAGUAGCUGGUCUGAGAGGAUGAUCAGCCACAUUGGGACUGAGACACGGCCCAAACUCCUACGGGAGGCAGCAGUGGGGAAUAUUGCACAAUGGACGAAAGUCUGAUGCAGCGACGCCGCGUGAAGGAUGAAGGCCUUCGGGUUGUAAACUUCUUUUAUAUGGGAAGAUUAUGACGGUACCAUAUGAAUAAGCUCCGGCUAACUACGUGCCAGCCGCCGCCGUAA